rnacentral:rRNA from 1 species
UACAGAGGCCUCGAGCGUUGUUCGGAUUCAUUGGGCGUAAAGGGUGCGUAGGCGGUCGGGUAAGUCGGGUGUGAAAUCUUGGGGCUCAACCCCAAAACUGCACUCGAUACUGCCUGGCUAGAGGACUGGAGAGGAGACUGGAAUUCACGGUGUAGCAGUGAAAUGCGUAGAGAUCGUGAGGAAGACCAGUGGCGAAGGCGGGUCUCUGGACAGUUCCUGACGCUGAUGCACGAAGGCCAGGGGAGCAAACGGG